rnacentral:lncRNA from 1 species
UUCAGUUUCCAAAGUAUAUGCGAAAGCGGUUGAUUGUAUUGAGACUAUAAUUAAAGGAAAGAUUUUAUAUCUUCUAUUACUACAACUUGUAACGAAAUAAUAUGUAUGCGAAAAGCUACUCGUUUUAUUCUCCAAUUUGUACUACACAAAUAAAAGAAUGCCACAAUAAAGUAGAACUUUAUUAACAUAAAACUCAUAUCAUAAUAAACUUGGAGUUUAUUGAUAUCCAGUUGGCAUAGCUGGUUUAGUCAUUUUAAUUAAAGUAUGAUGUGCAAAAAUAAACGAGAAUCUAUAUGGGUAAAUAUUGAAGAACUAGAAAGAUCUUUACGAAUUCUCUUAGGUUGCUUGUUCUCUUUAAUUGAUAGACCAAUUAAAACUGGCAUUGAAUCCCAUGAAUGCUGGAAAUAUCAAAGGUGAAUAUGGGCCCAUUCAUCUGCCAUGUAUCUGGAAAUGUCAAAGGUGAAUAUGAGCUUAUUCACCUGCCAUGUAUACCACAUAAGAUGCAU